AAGAGCAAAGAGCCAGAAUCCCCUGGGGCCCUGUAGCGGGCCGGUGUGGCUCCCCUCCUCCCCGGAGAGGGUUGAGCCCCGGACCCAGGAAGAGGCGGGGCUACAGAGUGGUGGGCCCGCCCCUCAAAGGGUCAGGCGGCGACCCGGAAGGAUAAAAGCCAGCCCAUCCAGCUCAGUCAGGCCCCAGCCACCACAGGGAGCAGACCUGCCUGAGGGAGCUCCUGACGAGAAGGCCGCUGGAGCCCCGAGCCCUUGCCCAGACUGGCCGGAGAUACCCCUGACUCGCUACUGGGAAGACCUGCCGGAGCUUCCCCACACCACCUACGAAGAGGAGCCGCUAGGAACCUCCCCAUCACCGUGCUGCUACCCCGAGGAACCCCCGGAGCAGGAUUGGCCGGACUUCCCCGAGGAGCUGCCCGAUCUACCCCCCAGCCCGGGUUGUGAGGAGCCCAUGCAGUGGGACUUCCCGGGACCUGACGCCGUGGACCAGAGAUGAACUGACGCUCUUCCGCUGCGCAGUGUUUCUCAGGUGGGCUCAUUUGAAGAUGCUGUUCCACAGCAUGGCCUGGGAUGGCUCCUCACAGCUCCUGAAGUGUGCCUGGAAGUGCUUGGCAGAUGCAGAACAACAAGAGCCACAUCCCCAAAUUCCUGUUCCAGGCCUUAGAGUACCUGGAAAGCUCACAGACAACAACCAGACAUUCUGCAGCCCUGUUCAUUGAUGCAACCUGGAGAUCCCAGCCGUCCUUGUUAUCAAUGGCCGAAAGACUACAAAGAAUCAGGAAGCAGCCACAUAGAAGCAAAGAGGACAUGCUGCAUGAAGGAAUGCAGCAGUCCCUUAAUGAAAAUCACAAAGCACAGGAGUGGUGGGAGAGUGAAAGAAGGGUCUGCCAGCAGAAUGUGGAUCGCUGGCAUCAAAGCACAGAGCGGCUGCUAAGCAUCAUGGAGCGCCAAGUAGACUCGAUACAGGUGCUCAUACCAAUGCAGCUCUCAGCUCUGGCCAGGAUCAGCCCAGGGGGAGCUACAGGGAGACCCAGGGAAGAGGAGGCCUGGAGGGAGCUGCCAACAGAAAGCAGGUCUCUGCCAGAAGGGAUCAGAGAAGGUCCCAGGCAGGAGGUACUCACAAGGCUUUGAGGCAGGAAGGAGGAGGUGAUUUAAACACAGUCCCUGACUGCAUCACGCCGGCUCCCUGGGCUGGGACCCACAGGAGAGGGUGGGCCUGGAUCCCCCUACCACGCAGGGAUGGACGUGGGUAGAGACUGCUGAGAACCCUGACCGGGAGGGGACAGGAAUAGUGGACUUUGCCUUUGUGUUCCUGCUGUAACUUACUUUAUUUCUACUCUGCUGAAGUAAGAAGGCAAGAAACCUGUACAGGGGGGAGAGCAAUGGAAAAGGGGGCAGGAGAGACCCUGGGACAAAGGCCUAAAUCUCUGGGACAAAGGCCCCACUAAAGGGGCUGGCAGCACUUUGGGUGGGGUCAGACUCCUCUCAGACCCGAAAGCAAAGAGACUAAGUCAGCUGGAGGACUGGAGUUACAAACACUGACAGAUCUAGGUUCCAUCCCUGAACCAGGUAAGGGAAACUGAGGCAGGGACAGACACAGUUCUGCUGAGCACUGCUAGGGUUCCUACAGCACUAAAGUCCCUCAGUUAUAGGUGCCUGUUGAUACACAUACAAUUAAUUGUUGUUAGUCAUUUAGACAUUUUGAAACUCCCACAAGGCAUCUACCUGCAUCUUUAGGUGCCUACCUACUCUUAAAUGGUGGCCUUACAUGACAUGACUGAGAGGGGGAGUUAGUUUCAUUCUGUCAGUUCAAACAGAUUUUAUUUCUGCUUAUUCAACUGCAAAACACCAGGGGGAAAAGAUCUGCUUGUUCCGGAUUCAGCCCCUCCAUCUUAAAUGAGAAACCUUCUGAUAUAUGUGGGGGUCCCCAACCAGCCCCAGAAGCAGCAGGGAAGACCAGGCUCUACUGCCUGGAGGCUGCUGGAGAGAAACAGACAAACAACGGAACAGUUCUUUUUUUCAGGAUGGAAAAGCUCCAGGAUCUUGGCAGGCCUCACCUGUGCCCCAAGAGCCGCAUAAUGGGGCUCAGCCCCUCAGUUAUUCUCCCCUCUUUGGAUCAGCUUCAGGAAGGGCCAGUUUAUAAAUUACUGGACAUGAGUCGUCACCUAGAGUUUUUGCCAUUUUUUUCAUUCGCACAUUUGAAAAUAAAAUCACCUCAGGUUUUGUCACAAAUACUGACAAAGAUAUCUCCAGU